rnacentral:tRNA from 1 species
GAGGGUACAGCUCAGUGGUAGAGCACAUGCCUAGCAUGCAGGAGGUCCUGGGUUCAAUCCCCAGUACCUCCA